CCCUUCUCCAGUCUUCACACAACCUGCUCGCUCUCCCGCACCCGCAUCGCGAUUCCCUUGUCCAAGCUUCGCUAGGGUUGGGGUUUGGCCUCCGUCUGCCCCGUCGAUGGCUGCUGCGGCGGCCGCGCGUCAGAGGUGAGGCGAGGCGAGUCGCGUGGUUGAUUGGUUCGAGGAGGAGGAGGAAGCAGAGGGAUGGACCCGGACUUCUCGCGGGCGAGCGGGGGGCCGAGCUUCGAGUUCGCCUUCAACUCGGUCAACUUCUCGGACCGGGUGCUGCAGAUCGAGAUUGUCGCCGGGGACGAUGCCCCCGGGGCCAAGGGCGCCGCCGGCGAGGGCUGCUCAUCGCUCGCCGACUGGGCGCGCCAACGCAAGCGGCGACGGGAGGAGCUCCGACGCGGCAAAGAAUCGGGAGCAAACUGCAAAGUUGAAGCUGAAGAAUGUGAUACCUAUGAGGAAGGCAAUGAGGAGCCUGUAGCUAUGAUAGAAGAAUCUCCACCUGAUAUUAAGCAAGAUGGUGAGGAUGGAGAAAGCAGUGAUUCAUCCUGGAGUAUGGAAUGUACUCAGAUUUUGAAAGUAAAGUCUAUCUAUAUCAGCUCUGCAAUUUUAGCUGCAAAGAGCCCUUUCUUUUACAAGCUUUUCUCAAAUGGAAUGAAAGAAUCUGAUCAGAGGCAUGCGACUCUUAGAAUAACUGCUUCAGGAAGUGCAAUACAUUGGACUGGUGAAGUGGUGAUGGAUGAAUGUCAGUCUUUUGAAGCGCGUCAGCUGAUGAGAUCGAGGAUGCCGGAGAGGAUGCAUUCGAUGAGUUCAUGUUUUUUCAUAGUGGAAUUGUUUGAACAGCAAAAAAGGGGAACAACCAAAAAGGGUUGAGAUCGAGGAUGCGGGAGAGGAUGCAUUCGAGUUCAUGUUCCAGGGCGAACAGGAACAUAAGCUAGAAUGCACCCGCCCCCGAUCCUCGAACUCAUCCUGGCACCUGUAAGCACCUCUCCCUAUUUAAGUCAGUCUUCAUCUCCUUUGCUCAGCGGUACGGUACUAAAGUUCAAGUCCUGGAAAAAAAUCUCAAAGAACGCUUUGUUUGUUUAUUCUAGGGCCACUGCCGGUUCCUGUAAAGAACCGGCAGUGAAUGUUUCACUGCCGGUUAUUGUGCACAACCGGCUGUGAAUUCAUAUGUCACUGCCGGUUUGACGGGAUUCCCCCAAUUUUUUUGGCGCGCCCCCGAUUGAACCGGCAGUGAGGUUGGUUCAAUGCCGGCUCCCGCCGAACCGGCACUGAUGAGCCGGCAUUGAUGACCAGUUCUGUGGUAGUGUUAAGAGCGGAGCUUUCGAAUGACAAUGUAAAGGGAUCCAGCUAGUUUAUUACGCCAUUUCACUAGUGAAGUCAUCAGCAGUAAUACUUCACUGUUAGUUGGUAACUAACGACAAAUUAGUAGCUGGUCCACUUCUUGUACGAUCAAAGAAAAAACUCCUUCACUGUUCAUCUCCCAGGCAUGGAACACAAUGGUGUGUUGUUGUAUAUUUGCAUUAAAUUCAUUAUUUCUUCAUUUGCGGCAAGAGCUGUGAUUA